rnacentral:misc_RNA from 1 species
AAGUCGUAACAAGGUAACCGUAGGUGAACCUGCUGUUGGAUCAUUAUUGAUUUUGUUAAAUAAUAACCAAAAGUUUAACAGUGUUUGGUGUCAAAACCAUUCGCAUACACCUGUGAACUGUGACUGUUUCUGGGUCCUACUGCUCUCGAGCGACAGGGCCCGACAUAUUAACUAUAUACUAAUGUCUGAAUAAAUUUAAAUAAAAACAACUUUUGACAAACGGAUCUCUUGGCUCUC